rnacentral:rRNA from 1 species
UACGGAGGGUGCAAGCGUUAUCCGGAUUCAUUGGGCCUAAAGGGUGCGUAGGAGGGCAGGUAAGUCAGUGGUGAAAUCCCCGAGCUUAACUUGGGAACUGCCGUUGAUACUAUCUGUCUUGAAUAUUGUGGAGGUGAGCGGAAUAUGUCAUGUAGCGGUGAAAUGCUUAGAUAUGACAUAGAACACCAAUUGCGAAGGCAGCUCGCUACACAUAUAUUGACUCUGAGGCACGAAAGCGUGGGGAUCAAACAGG